rfam:Triticum aestivum genome assembly, contig: Triticum_aestivum_CS42_TGACv1_scaffold_031682_1BL
GGUCAGAUAAUGCUAAAACAACAUAUUCCUGAGAUUCUCUUUGAGGAAUACAAAAUCGAGGUUUUUAAGACUGAUGGCCA